rnacentral:rRNA from 1 species
UACGUAGGGGGCAAGCGUUGUCCGGAAUCAUUGGGCGUAAAGAGCGUGUAGGCGGCCGCUUAAGUCCUGCGUGAAAUCUCGGAGCUCAACUCCGAGCGGUCGUGGGAAACUGGGCGGCUAGAGUGCGGGAGAGGAGAGUGGAAUUCCUGGUGUAGCGGUGGAAUGCGCAGAUAUCAGGAAGAACACCCGUGGCGAAGGCGGCUCUCUGGAACGCAACUGACGCUGAGACGCGAAAGCGUGGGGAGCAAACAGG